UCUUUAAUCAGUCGUUAUUUUAGCGACUAAUUACCGACUGAAUAUAUCAGUCGCAAAUCAGAAGGAAAACAUUCGGUAAAUAUUAUCGUAAACCUAAAUCUGAUACCCAAAACCCUGAACAUUUUUAAACUCUAAACUUUAAAUAUAAACCUUGAAACUCUAAAUUUUUCACACAAUAAAUAUUAAUCCUAAAAUUUAAACUAUAAUAAAUUAUAUUCCCUGUAAGUUUCUAAACCCCAUACACCAAAUCAUUCUCCUUACAUUCCUUCUUGCAAAAGUUAAAUAAAAAUGUUAAACUAAUUUGCCUACUUAUCCAAAUAGCCAUGAUUUUGUCACAUUUGUUUCACGACUAGUUAAAUCCCUAAACCCUAAACA
rnacentral:lncRNA from 1 species